rnacentral:lncRNA from 1 species
UUAUUUCUUUGUUCAAUUUUUUGAACCUCAAAACUGCAUUAAAUCUCAUGUGUUAGAAGAAGGUUUUUAUUUUUCUUUUGGGGUUGGGAAACCAGCAAAGCGACUAGCUAAUUAUUGGAUUUUAUGAUGUAAUAAGUGUAGAUGGGUGUUUGGGUGAUGUCGAUGCUUUCUUUUUGUCGCAGGUGCUUGGGGGUGGGAAGAAAAAUAAAAGUAGAUGAUUAUGUGCGUUCGGUUGGGAGUGGUAUUAACCAGGGGCAUUUUUGGUACUUUUCUUUUUCUAAACAUGUCUAGUCCUGGUUUGAUCUUUCUGAUGGCUUUAUUGAUUGGUUGGAUCAGAAUUAUAUGGCGUAAGAGGGAAGAAUUAAUUGUUUAAGGCGAGAUCGAUAUGGGGAUUUUUUGACUGAAGGGUAUUUUGGGAAUAAGGUUAAGAAUUCUAUGGCGGUGGUUGUGGGUUGGUUCUUGUUGACUCAGAUUAGCAGACAUAGAUUCAAGAAGAUGGGUGGGUUCACAAGGAUUAAAGAUUUUUUUAACUGUACAGGGAGGAUAAAGAGCGAGGGCAUUUUUGGAAUAUAUAGGUUUUUUUGAUGAAUUUUGCGCCUGGUUUGAUAUGCGAGGUGAUAGGAUUGAAGAUUUUCUUAUGUGGCAGGCCUUAAAUGAAGUUCUUUUUUAUUAUUUUGUCAAUUCUUGGAAGCAGGGGCUUUGUGGUUAUUCUAUUAUGAAUUUAUUCAUGUGUAUUCAUUUAUAAAUAACGUUCUAGUUAUGUGUGAAUGGUUGUAUUCAUUUAUGAAUAGCACGUGUCUUCAUUUACGAUAGAAUGUGUAUUAAUUUAUAAAUAACAGUGUAUUCAUUUGUGAAUUGCAAUGUAUUCGUAUGUGAAUGAUUGUAUUUAUUUAUGAAUAGUAGUGUAUUAAUAUGAAUGGGUGUAUUUAUUUAUGAUUAGAGGUAUUCAUUUUAGGAAAAAAUGAUAAUUUUUACAUUAUUUUUUAUUUUCAAUUUAUGAAAAUACAUUGAAUUAUUUGUAAUUUGAUGUGUUUUCAUUUAUGAUUGGAAGUGCAUUGAGUUGGGAUUGAACUUCUAUUCAUUUUUUUUUUGAAAAACAAAAAACGUGAAAUAGUAGAAAAUAAUAUUUAUUUAAG